rnacentral:lncRNA from 1 species
GAGAAGCAGUACUAGAAACGGUAAGGGGUGUUGGAGAGGAGGUACUUUGUCUACAAGGCCAGUGUUUCUCCUAAUCCCCUUUUUCAAACAACCCAUGUGUGCGGUGGACUGUCUUCUCCGUUCCUGUACUUGUACAUUUUGGCUGUUUGGGCAUGUGCUGCGUGACCAUGAUGUACUCAUUGUUGCUCAACAGCUAGGGCUCCUCCCCUUCGUGUCAGGGAACUAUUUCUUAAAGUGCAGAGAGAUAGACAACAGGUGCAUCACGGUUUCCUGGGACAAACUCUCCUGCAUUCUUGACUUGUCACUGACAAUAGUUUGGAAAUGUCUUAUCUGUACAGCAAACAAAUUCUGGCUGGUUUACCUGGUUUUCUGGGGGCAUCGCCUGCUUAGUGUGCUGACACUGAUUCUGCUGGCAGCCGCAGUGCCUCCAGAGUGCGACACAUCUGCUUGCAUGUUCCACUUAACAGUGUACCACACUGUACGUACUAGUAAGCCCGCGUUCAGCCUGUGAGAAAAAAAAGGUUGAAAUGGUGCUUACAGCCUCUUGAGGUUUGUACACAUUGGAACGAUUUCUUGACUCACUUUGUGUGUGUGUUCUUCAGCCUGCCAUGUGUUGUACGGUACCAAGUGCGAGCUCUAAUGUUUGACCAUGUCUUGACCAUUUCUCGAAGUGUGCAUUUUUUAAAAUCUUUUUUCAGAAUCCAACCUUCGCCUCUUUUUAGUCGAAGCUUUACAAUGUGUGCUUUUCGAUGUUGUGCCGACCUUUGUUUACCUACUUGUUUUUUAACAUGUUCAUUGCUUACAACAUGAACAUAUAUAUACAUAUGCUUCUGCUGUUACAAAAGUGGCAACAGAGUAGCUUUGAACAGCUUCAGCUGUUUGAGGGCACAAGAGCGCUGCAAACAGGUCAGAGUACUUGGGAAUGUCAACCAAUCAAUAAUAUUGAAGUCACUAUCAGUGUUCUAACAGUGUCUAUAAACUGGUAGAAAGUAUUGCUAAAUUAUUUCCUAUUGUUUCUUGUCUCCGCUCCUCUCUCCAAACUUUUUUUUUUUUUUUGGUCCCUUGUGCUCAUUAAAGGGCAAACCAGAAUCCCUUGGUCAGCUUUCAGUUCUGAUGCACCUACCAACUUUUCAAGUUUGGUUGUUCUAAGGGCUCUGACCACAUAUAAGCAUAUCCUGGGUUUUCCAAGCCUGUCUGCAGUACUCUGUUACCUCCCUCGCUAGCACUUCAUUUGCAGUAGGUUCCUGCCUCAUGUGACAUUGUGUACAAAGGUGUGCCAUUUGUGGACGUAUUUCCACUGUAAUUAUUAUGCAGCAGUCGUGUCAUCUUUCUCGCGUGGCUGUACAUUUUUUUAUGCAACUCCCCCACACAGCAGCACUGUCUGUGCGUCACAAAGAGCAAAAUAUCUAUUUGGAGACUCGCCGACUAGCACAACUGUAAGCAGGAAGCCAGCAAAUGUUGCUAGAAGAGAAAAAGGCACACAAGAACAGAGCCUUCUGUAUGUGGAUAGUACGCAACCAUUGGUAUAUGCUCCACUAUAAGCAGGAGGCCAGGAAAUGUUCCUAGAAGAGAAAAAGGCACACAAGAACAGAGCCUUCUGUAUGUGGAUAGUACGCAGCCAUUGGUAUAUGCUCCACUAUGAGGAGCAGCCUCAAUCUUUUCAACACAGUCGAACCUCGUUCUAACGAAGUCUCAUCGGACACAACCUUCUUUAUAUUCUAUAUUCAUUGUAAGCACAUGUUCGUCUAGUGCCAAGAUUGUUGAGAAAAAUUUGACUCGCUCUGCUAUAUCCGUGUUUGUUAUAUUGAGGUUCGACUGCACAGUUAAAUCAAAAAGCUGGAAAAAAAAACUGCAUCUAUCGAGCUUCUUAGCAACAGUGAGAUGGCCGUGUUAGGAAUUUCGGCUUGGCUGUAGAAGCCAACAAAAACUUUGACAAAGAAGCAAGGAACCAGUAGAUCAUUGGAGACACUGCUGCAAAGAGCGCUGUUUAGGUCUGUUCUCAGCCAAGGCAAACAAAUUCCAGCCUGCAAUUUGCACCGUUGCACUGCCUUUCAGCCAAUAAUAAUAAUAAUCAAUGUAUCACAGCUCUUAACUUGUGCACAGAUUGCGACAGGUGCAAGGGUUCGGUGGUGCAUUUGCGCAUACUCUAUGACUGGAACGACUUAUUAAAUAACUGUAACCGUUCUCAUACUUGCAAUGUCAUGUUCAGCACUGUAUGCCUUUUGCCCCCUCCCACUGGCAGUACUCUCACUAUACUGAAGGCUCUGGAAGAGAAAAUCCUUAAAGCAACAUCUGGUGGCAUGAAAUUCAAGCUUCCUGCAUGAAGCUUCAUUUGCGUAGCAACCAGGAUACUGUAAAGUUCUCAACCACCUGGUGACCCUAGCAUGAUACAGGUGCAGACACACCUGCAGCGUGUGACACCUUGCAGUCACACUGAUGAAGCCAGUUUCUCCGAUUAAAUAUUUCUCACUCCUUUCCCAGCACCAUACUUGCCAGCCGGUACAGCUGCUAGCAGUUUGUUUACAACUUUUUGCCAUAAAUCUUUCUGUACACUAUCGAAAAAAACCUAUUCAGAGCCCUAUAUAUCUAUACAAUAUAUAAAAAUAUAUAUACACAUAUAUAUAUAUACACAUAUGUAUACAAGAUUUUAGCGUGGAGCAUUUUGCCAAAGGAAAGCUGUGUCAUUUUUUUAUAAUUUCUAUCUUCUCCACUCUUUCCUGCCCAGUUAUGUUUUUGUUGUAUAUUUACAUUGCAACAAUAAAGGGAGCCAAGCGAUUGUCUCAA